CGCGUAGGUGGUUUGUUAAGUUGGAUGUGAAAGCCCCGGGCUCAACCUGGGAACUGCAUCCAAAACUGGCAAGCUAGAGUACGGUAGAGGGUGGUGGAAUUUCCUGUGUAGCGGUGAAAUGCGUAGAUAUAGGAAGGAAUACCAGUGGCGAAGGCGACCACCUGGACUGAUACUGACACUGAGGUGCGAAAGCGUGGGGAGCAAACA
rnacentral:rRNA from 1 species